UACAGAGGGUGCAAGCGUUGUUCGGAAUUAUUGGGCGUAAAGGGCGCGUAGGCGGUGUCGCAAGUCCGUGGUGAAAUCUCUAGGCUCAACUUAGAGACUGCCGCGGAAACUGCGGUGCUUGAGUGUGGGAGAGGUGCGUGGAAUUCCCGGUGUAGCGGUGAAAUGCGUAGAUAUCAGGAGGAACACCGGUGGUGUAGACGGCUCUCUGGACCGUAACUGACGCUGAGACACGAAAGCGUGGGUAGCAAACAGG
rnacentral:rRNA from 1 species